UGCCCAUGGGGCAGACAGACUCCAAAGAUCUAUAAAGGAGUGAUGCCCAUGAGACAGACAGACUCCAAAGAUCUAAGUUACAAGAACUACUCCUAGAAAAGCAGUAAAUGGGGAAAAGAAAAAGAUUACAUUUAGACUACUCCUAGAAGAGCGAUAAAAUGCAGAGGAAAUAAGCGUGGUCUUUUGUGCGCAGGAGCAAAGACCUCUAUUGCAGGCUUCAAAGUUACUAUUUAUAGCACACAUUAUUAGUUGGUUGAAAGUAGUUGGGGGGAGUGGUUGUAACCAUGAUCGUGGAAGUUAUACUAACUCCUCAUGAAAAUUACGCUAACUCCUCAUGGAAGUUACACCCUAAUCUUCAACCGUUCCCGCCUUCUUGUCCUUCAGGCGCCUUAUUGCCGAAUCCUGGUGUACCACGUAUCCUUAUUAGUUCAUACGUGGGUUAGGUCGGCUCAAUU
rnacentral:lncRNA from 1 species